rnacentral:rRNA from 1 species
CUUGGUCAUUUAGAGGAAGUAAAAGUCGUAACAAGGUUUCCGUAGGUGAACCUGCGGAAGGAUCAUUAGUGAACGCCCUCACGGGCUUAUAACUAUUCCAAACCUCUGUGAACCGUGCCCUUUGGGGCUAUUUUACAAACAUGGUGUAAUGAACGUCAUAUAUCAUAACAAAACAAAACUUUCAACAACGGAUCUCUUGGCUCUCGCAUCGAUGAAGAACGCAGCGAAAUGCGAUAAGUAAUGUGAAUUGCAGAAUUCAGUGAAUCAUCGAAUCUUUGAACGCACCUUGCGCCCUCUGGUAUUCCGGAGGGCAUGCCUGUUUGAGUGUCAUGUAGACUCAAUCCCUCGGGUUUCCGAGGAGAUUGGACUUGGGUGUUGCCGCUCUGCCGGCUCGCCUUAAAAGACUUAGCGGGAUAGCACCGUAGUCGGCGUAAUAAGUUUCGUCGGUGAAGGUUGUGAUGACUGCUUACAAUCGCCCUCGGGCAAUUUUUGACUCUGACCUCAAAUCAGGUAGGACUACCCGCUGAACUUAAGCAUAUCAAUAAGCGGAGGA